rnacentral:rRNA from 1 species
AGCAGCCGCGGUAAUUCCAGCUCCAAUAGCGUAUAUUAAAGUUGUUGCAGUUAAAAAGCUCGUAGUUGAAUUUCGGGAUCAGCAGGUCGGUCGUGCCAAUGGUAUGCACUGGCCUUGCUGAUUCCUCCCUCUUGAUGAGCCGUAAUGCCAUUAAUUUGGUGUUGCGGGGAAUCAGGACUGUUACUUUGAAAAAAUUAGAGUGUUUAAAGCAGGCAAGCGCUUGAAUACAUUAGCAUGGAAUAAUGAAAUAGGACGUUUGAUCCUAUUUUGUUGGUUUCUAGGAUUGACGUAAUGAUUAAUAGGGAUAGUUGGGGGCAUUAGUAUUCAAUUGUCAGAGGUGAAAUUCUUGGAUUUAUUGAAGACUAACUACUGCGAAAGCAUUUGCCAAGGAUGUUUUCAUUAAUCAAGAACGAAAGUUAGGGGAUCGAAGACGAUCAGAUACCGUCGUAG